GAGCGGCGGACGGGUGAGUAAUGCCUAGGAAAUUGCCCUGAUGUGGGGGAUAACCAUUGGAAACGAUGGCUAAUACCGCAUAAUGCCUACGGGCCAAAGAGGGGGACCUUCGGGCCUCUCGCGUCAGGAUAUGCCUAGGUGGGAUUAGCUAGUUGGUGAGGUAAUGGCUCACCAAGGCGACGAUCCCUAGCUGGUCUGAGAGGAUGAUCAGCCACACUGGAACUGAGACACGGUCCAGACUCCUACGGGAGGCAGCAGUGGGGAAUAUUGCACAAUGGGCGCAAGCCUGAUGCAGCCAUGCCGCGUGUGUGAAGAAGGCCUUCGGGUUGUAAAGCACUUUCAGUCGUGAGGAAGGUGGUAGUGUUAAUAGCACUAUCAUUUGACGUUAGCGACAGAAGAAGCACCGGCUAACUCCGUGCCAGCAGCCGCGGUAAUACGGAGGGUGCGAGCGUUAAUCGGAAUUACUGGGCGUAAAGCGCAUGCAGGUGGUUUGUUAAGUCAGAUGUGAAAGCCCGGGGCUCAACCUCGGAAUAGCAUUUGAAACUGGCAGACUAGAGUACUGUAGAGGGGGGUAGAAUUUCAGGUGUAGCGGUGAAAUGCGUACAGAUCUGAAGGAAUACCGGUGGCGAAGGCGGCCCCCUGGACAGAUACUGACACUCAGAUGCGAAAGCGUGGGGAGCAAACAGGAUUAGAUACCCUGGUAGUCCACGCCGUAAACGAUGUCUACUUGGAGGUUGUGGCCUUGAGCCGUGGCUUUCGGAGCUAACGCGUUAAGUAGACCGCCUGGGGAGUACGGUCGCAAGAUUAAAACUCAAAUGAAUUGACGGGGGCCCGCACAAGCGGUGGAGCAUGUGGUUUAAUUCGAUGCAACGCGAAGAACCUUACCUACUCUUGACAUCCAGAGAACUUUCCAGAGAUGGAUUGGUGCCUUCGGGAACUCUGAGACAGGUGCUGCAUGGCUGUCGUCAGCUCGUGUUGUGAAAUGUUGGGUUAAGUCCCGCAACGAGCGCAACCCUUAUCCUUGUUUGCCAGCGAGUAAUGUCGGGAACUCCAGGGAGACUGCCGGUGAUAAACCGGAGGAAGGUGGGGACGACGUCAAGUCAUCAUGGCCCUUACGAGUAGGGCUACACACGUGCUACAAUGGCGCAUACAGAGGGCAGCAAGCUAGCGAUAGUGAGCGAAUCCCAAAAAGUGCGUCGUAGUCCGGAUUGGAGUCUGCAACUCGACUCCAUGAAGUCGGAAUCGCUAGUAAUCGUGGAUCAGAAUGCCACGGUGAAUACGUUCCCGGGCCUUGUACACACCGCCCGUCACACCAUGGGAGUGGG
rnacentral:rRNA from 2 species